UGAGAGGUCCCAGAUACGUCUGCGGUUCCGGCUCCGCCACCCUCAGCUUCUCUUCCCCAGGUCUGGGAGCCGAGUGCGGAAGGAGGGAACGGCCCUAGCUUUGGGAAGCCAGAGGACACCCCUGGCUCCUGCCGACACCGCCCUCCUUCCCUUCCCAGCCGCGGGCCUCGCUCGGUGCUAGGCUACUCUGCCGGGAGGCGGCGGCGGCUGCCAGUCUGUGGAGAGUCCUGCUGCCCUCCAGCCGGGCUCCUCCACCGGGCCUUGCAGGGGCCGAGAGAGCUCGGUGCCCGCCCUUCCGCUCGCCUUUUUCGUCAGCUGGCUGGAGCAGCAUCGGUCCGGGAGGUCUCUAGGCUGAGGCGGCGGCCGCUCCUCUAGUUCCACAAUGUCCACGGGCGGAGACUUCGGGAAUCCGCUGAGGAAAUUCAAGCUGGUGUUCCUGGGGGAGCAAAGCGUUGGAAAGACAUCUUUGAUCACCAGAUUCAUGUAUGACAGUUUUGACAACACCUAUCAGGUAUUUUGUUUUUGCCAAUUUAUUUGUUGUCUAUUUUUUGUUACAAGUAAUAUUCAAGAUAUUUUUAAAAAAUUAUUUACUUGCAGUUGUGGAUGUAAAAGUACUUUCUAUAAUCUGUAAAAUGCUGUAUAAAUACAAUGUGUAAAUGAUUUUGUCCAGUCCUAGGAUAAACUUUUAUCAUUUGAUUUCUUUUGUCUCUUCCAAAGUCUGUUGAAAUAUAUCUCCAAUAUCAUCUAGGAUGGCAUUAGAAGUAAUGGUGGAUAUUCUCUAUAGAUUUUGUCCAAGCCUAGGAUUCUGUGACAUUUUUUAUCUACAUUUGAAAUUAAGAAUAAAUGAAUAAUGAAAUUAGAAAUCAUUAACAGAAGGAUAUUUGGCACAUUCACAAAUAUGUGAAAAUUAAAUAAUACACUCCUAAAUAAUUAAUGUCAAAGAUGAAAUCACAAGAGAAAUUAGAAAAUGCUUUGAGAUCAAUAAAAAAGAAAACACAGCACACCAAAACUUAUGGUAUACAACUAAAGCAGUGCUAUACAAAAAAGAAAAGAGAUACUAAAUAAAUAGCCUAACAUUCUACUUUAAGAAACUGGAAGAAAACUAAACCCAAAGCGACAGAAGGAAGAAGCUAUUUUAAAAUUUAGGUUUUAUCAUUAUUCCUGUAUGGUGAGGCCAAUAGAUCAGGAGAUGAUUGCCAUUGAAAAGAUAGUUUGUUAUACUCACAGAUCCCAAGAGAAGAGGGCAUGCCAUGCCAGAGGGGGCCACAUGGGGAAGCACUGGGUCAGUUAAAAGGCAGGUGGCUGGGGAAAUGUGGACAAAAGCCUUGAUUGUGGUUUUCAGGGAAGAGGCACACAAGACAGGGUAAGCAGGUUUAGGAUUAGCUAGUUCGGAUAAUUUCAGGGGUUCUGGGGUUGAGGGGCUGUUCCUGGUUGUCUAGUACCUGGCCCGGGUGAUUAGGGCAGUGUAGUAUUGGCCCUCAGUGUCAUAGAGGAGGUGCUGGGGUAUUGGCUUUGGAUUGGUUGGUUUGCCUAUGAAAGGAGUACUCAAAGGUGAGUUUACUAUCUCUAAUGAAAAAGCUAAUCCUGGCAGGGGCAGUCCCUCCAGUGUCAGCAAGGACCCUGAUGUCAAAACAUCAAAACUAUAGAAAGUAAAAAGACAUGCUUAAUACAGAAGUUAAUAAAGGUUAAAGCAGAAAUAUAUGAAAGAGAGAGCAGAAAAACAAUGGAGGAAAUCAAUGAAACCAAAAGCAGUUCUUUGAAAAGAUAAAAAAAUUGACUAACUUUAGCUAGACUGACCAAGAAAAAAAAGAA
rnacentral:lncRNA from 1 species